rnacentral:lncRNA from 1 species
GAACAACAUGAUUUAUUUCUAGAUCUUUGUGAAAAUAUUAAUAGUGUUUAUUUUUGUUCUCAACAGUGCCCCAGUUCAAGGAGUAAUUUAUAUGACUUCCAGUUUUCAACAGCUUUAAUGAAUCAAACUCAACCCCUUGCACUUGCCAGCAGGCACAUCUGCCACUGAGCUACCUCCCCAGCCUGGUAUAUGGUGUUAAAAAAUUACAGGAGAGUCUGGACCCAAGAGGAAUGGAGGAGACAUGGAAAGAAUGUCACCGUCAGUCUUGUUCCUCCUCAAGGGGACAGAGCAGAGAGUUGACUUUUGACCCUGAUGAAAGAAGGGAGGUGCCAAGCGGAGCUGGAGGAGAUGAAAAGCCUGAAUCAGGGAAACGUCACAGUGCUUGGAGCGGACAACCUUAGGGCUCCUUGGCAGAAGCUGAAACCAGCUGAACUGCAAUAGCCUCACCCUGAGAGACUAUCAACUUCCUAACAUCAUACGUUAAAUAAUUUUUGAUUGUUUUUGGUUAUAAA